rnacentral:tRNA from 1 species
GUCGCGAUGGCAAUCAAGGUCGCGAAGCCGCUGCUUCGGGCGCCGCGCGCGGCGGCUGCGAUCGCCGUGUUCGCGUUCGUCGCGAUCGCGGUGC